GAGAACGGAGUUCAGGCUUGGUGAAU
rnacentral:misc_RNA from 1 species